rnacentral:rRNA from 1 species
UGGGGAAUUUUGGACAAUGGGCGAAAGCCUGAUCCAGCAAUGCCGCGUGUGUGAAGAAGGCCUUCGGGUUGUAAAGCACUUUUGUCCGGAAAGAAAUCCUUGGCUCUAAUACAGUCGGGGGAUGACGGUACCGGAGGAAUAAGCACCGGCUAACUACGUGCCAGCAGCCGCGGUAAUACGUAGGGUGCAAGCGUUAAUCGGAAUUACUGGGCGUAAAGCGUGCGCAGGCGGUUUGCUAAGACCGAUGUGAAAUCCCCGGGCUCAACCUGGGAACUGCAUUGGUGACUGGCAGGCUAGAGUAUGGCAGAGGGGGGUAGAAUUCCACGUGUAGCAGUGAAAUGCGUAGAGAUGUGGAGGAAUACCGAUGGCGAAGGCAGCCCCCUGGGCCAAUACUGACGCUCAUGCACGAAAGCGUGGGGAGCAAACAGGAUUAGAUACCCUGGUAGUCCACGCCCUAAACGAUGUCAACUAGUUGUUGGGGAUUCAUUCCUUAGUAACGUAGCUAACGCGUGAAGUUGACCGCCUGGGGAGUACGGUCGCAAGAUUAAACUUAAGGAAUUGACGGGGUCAUAGCUGUUUCC